rnacentral:rRNA from 1 species
GAUAACGCUGGCGGUGUGUAUAAUACAUGCAAGUCGAACGGACCUUUAUGGUUAGUGGCGGACGAGCGAGUAACACGUUGGAACCUGCCCCGAACUCAGGGAUAAGCACUGGAAACGGUGUCUAAUACCGGAUAGUCCCGCAAGGGUAAAGAUUUUUCGGUUCGGGAGGGGCCUGCGGCUUAUCAGCUAGUAGGUGAGGUAAUGGCUCACCUAGGCUACGACGAGUAGAUGGUUUGAGAGAAUGAUCAUCCGCGAUGGGACUGAGACACGGCCCAU